CGAGUAUCUAUUGGAGGGCAAGUCUGGUGCCAGCAGCCGCGGUAAUUCCAGCUCCAAUAGCGUAUAUUAAAGUUGCUGCGGUUAAAAAGCUCGUAGUUGGAUCUCAGUCUCGAUCGGACGGUCUGCUAUUUGGCGGUACUGGACGAAUCGGACAUUCCGCCGCCUUUUGCAGUAUGCUCUUGACUGAGUGUAUUGUGACAGUGGCAAAUUUACUUUGAAAAAAUUAGAGUGCUCAAAGCAGGCAAUCGCCUGAAUCUUCGUGCAUGGAAUGAUGGAAUAGGGCCUCGGUUCUAUUUUGUUGGUUUCCGGAACUCGAGGUAAUGAUUAAGAGGGACGGACGGGGGCAUUCGUAUUGCGACGUUAGAGGUGAAAUUCUUAGAUCGUCGCAAGACGAACUACUGCGAAAGCAUUUGCCAAGAAUGUUUUCAUUAAUCAAGAACGAAAGUUAGAGGUUCGAAGGCGAUCAGAUACCGCCCUAGUUCUAACCAUAAACGAUGCUGACUAGCGAUCCGCUGGCGUUACAACACAUGACCCAGCGGGCAGCUUCCGGGAAACCAAAGUUUCUAUGUUCCGGGGGAAGUAUGCGUUGCAAAACUGGAACUUAAAGGAAUUGACGGAAGGGCACCACCAGGAGUGGAGCCUGUGGCUUAAUUUGACUCAACACGGGAAAUCUCACCAGGCCCGGACACCGGCAGGAUUGACAGAUUGAUAGCUCUUUCUUGAUUCGGUGGGUGGUGGUGCAUGGCCGUUCUUAGUUGGUGGAGUGAUUUGUCUGGUUAAUUCCGAUAACGAACGAGACCCCGUCCUACUUACUAGACCGAGGAUCCUUUUGUUCUCGCUGUCUUCUUAGAGGGACAAAUGAUUUUACCUUGAACUACAUGAAAUGGGGCAAUAACAGGUCUGUGAUGCCCUUAGAUGUUCUGGGCUGCACACGCGCUACACUGAAGGGAUCAUCGUGUUCUGCUAGCUCGAAAGAGCUUGCCAACCCGUUGAAUUCUCUUCGUGCUAGGGAUUGAGGCUUGCAAUUGUUUCUCAUGAACGAGGAAUUCCCAGUAAGUGCAAGUCAUAAGCUUGCGCUGAUUACGUCCCUGCCCUUUGUACACACCGCCCGUCGCUACUACCGAUUGAAUGAUUUAGUGAGGAUCUCGGACUGGCUACUCGCGGGGUAACACCUGCAAGCAGCUCGGGAAGAAAUUCGAACUGUAUCAUUUAGAGGAA
rnacentral:rRNA from 1 species